rnacentral:rRNA from 1 species
UACGUAGGGGGCAAGCGUUGUCCGGAAUCAUUGGGCGUAAAGCGCACGUAGGCGGUCCGGCAAGUCGGGUGUGAAAGCCCUCGGCUUAACCGAGGAAGUGCAUUCGAGACUACCGGACUUGAAUACUGGAGAGGGUUGCGGAAUUCCCGGUGUAGAGGUGAAAUUCGUAGAUAUCGGGAGGAACACCAGUGGCGAAGGCGGCAACCUGGACAGAUAUUGACGCUGAGGUGCGAAAGCGUGGGGAGCAAACAGG